UCCUACGGGAGGCAGCAGUGGGGAAUCUUAGACAAUGGGGGCAACCCUGAUCUAGCCAUGCCGCGUGAGUGAUGAAGGCCUUAGGGUCGUAAAGCUCUUUCGCCUGUGAUGAUAAUGACAGUAGCAGGUAAAGAAACCCCGGCUAACUCCGUGCCAGCAGCCGCGGUAAUACGGAGGGGGUUAGCGUUGUUCGGAAUUACUGGGCGUAAAGCGCGCGUAGGCGGAUUAGAAAGUUGGGGGUGAAAUCCCGGGGCUCAACCCCGGAACUGCCUCCAAAACUGCUAGUCUAGAGUUCGAGAGAGGUGAGUGGAAUUCCGAGUGUAGAGGUGAAAUUCGUAGAUAUUCGGAGGAACACCAGUGGCGAAGGCGGCUCACUGGCUCGAUACUGACGCUGAGGUGCGAAAGUGUGGGGAACGGAGCGGGCCUGGUUUCU
rnacentral:rRNA from 1 species